rnacentral:rRNA from 1 species
AGGACGAACGCUGGCGGCGUGCUUAACACAUGCAAGUCGAACGGUAAGGCCCUUCGGGGUACACGAGUGGCGAACGGGUGAGUAACACGUGGGUGAUCUGCCCUGCACUUCGGGAUAAGCUUGGGAAACUGGGUCUAAUACCGGAUAGGACCACGGUCUGCAUGGAUUGUGGUGGAAAGCUUUUGCGGUGUGGGAUGGGCCCGCGGCCUAUCAGCUUGUUGUGGGGUGAUGGCCUACCAAGGCGACGACGGGUAGCCGGCCUGAGAGGGUGUCCGGCCACACUGGGACUGAGAUACGGCCCAGACUCCUACGGGAGGCAGCAGUGGGGAAUAUUGCACAAUGGGCGCAAGCCUGAUGCAGCGACGCCGCGUGGGGAUGACGGCCUUCGGGUUGUAAACCUCUUUCAGUAGGGACGAAGCGUAAGUGACGGUACCUAUAGAAGAAGCACCGGCCAACUACGUG